GACGAACGCUGGCGGCGUGCUUAACACAUGCAAGUCGAACGAAGUGGCGAACGGGUGAGUAAUACGUGAGUAACCUGCCCUCCUUUUUGGGAUAAGCCUUGGAAACGGGGUCUAAUACCGAAUAAAGGGGGAUGGGCUCGCGGCCUAUCAGCUUGUUGGUGGGGUGAUGGCCUACCAAGGCGGUGACGGGUAGCCGGCCUGAGAGGGUGAACUGCCACAUUGGGACUGGGAUACGGCCCAGACUCCUACGGGAGGCAGCAGUGGGGGAUAUUGCACAAUGGGCGAAAGCCUGAUGCAGCGACGCCGCGUGGAGGAUGAAGUAUUUCGGGUUGUAAACCUGCAUCGUACGGGUAGGGGUAAGUGGAGAACAAGAGCCGGCUAACUACGUGCCAGCCGCCGCGGUAAUAC
rnacentral:rRNA from 1 species